UCCACGAUCUUCAAAUCCCUAAUAUCUAAAGGAAACAAAAUCUGACAUCUUGGAAAUCGAAUUCCUUCAAACCCUUCCUGUUUAUCUUCCUCCAAUUGAACUCUGAGAAACGGUUCAUGUUCAUCUUCCUCCAAUCCAAUUCCUUGAACCCAACUGUUAACCCUAAUCUCCAAGAACCCAGAAAUCACUGUGAGCCCUAACCCAUAACCCAUAAAUCCUCUUCUCUCCACCAUAUACCAGCAAUUCAAUUUUUCGAAAGUCGUACUUGUUCAUCGUCGUGCCGUCACAACUCAAAUCGUGGUUAUUAAGGAUUCCCGAGUCGUCGUUUGGUGGCUCGUGGCAAGUUGCACAACACCGAAGGUGAUAUGGUGCAUGGCAUUAAAUUACCUAUUGGAUAUGUUAAAGUUGCUAUGGAUGUUUCUGUUAUAUCAGACGCUCCAUUGCCCAUAUCUAUCGAAUAUGGAGAAGUCUCGAUAGUUGGUCAAGCAAUAGGUACAAUUGUGCCAUGGCCAUUCAAACUUGUUGAACUUAUUGUUGAACGUCAAAAGAUCCCAAAAAAAAUCCAAAAUAAGGAUAAGGUACAAACCUCUGAAUCAGUUGUGUCGCCAACCAAAAACCGGAAAAUUUUGAAAAAUCAAGUGGCGUACCCUAAAAAUG